UGUUGGGUAGCUCAGUAGGUAGAGCUGGAGACUCAUAAUCUCUGUGUCGCGGGUUCGAUCCCCGCCUCAACAACCA
rnacentral:tRNA from 1 species